rnacentral:rRNA from 1 species
UACGUAGGGGGCUAGCGUUGUCCGGAAUCAUUGGGCGUAAAGCGCGUGUAGGCGGUUCGGUAAGUCCGCUGUGAAAGUCGGGGGCUCAACCCUCGAAUGCCGGUGGAUACUGUCGGACUAGAGUACGGAAGAGGCGAGUGGAAUUCCUGGUGUAGCGGUGAAAUGCGCAGAUAUCAGGAGGAACACCGGUGGCGAAGGCGGGUCUCUGGGCCGAUACUGACGCUGAGGAGCGAAAGCGUGGGGAGCGAACAGG